CAUCCUUUGGAGUUAAGGCCACUGGCUGGCUGAUGAACUUACAAGUGUAGGUGCUACACGAGGGGCAAGUUUUUUACUAAUGACACAAGGGUCUCUGCCCAAUGAGUGGAGGUUGAUAAUCCUUGCUACAAGU